rnacentral:rRNA from 1 species
CUCCAGACUCCUACGGGAGGCAGCAGUGGGGGAUAUUGCACAAUGGGGGAAACCCUGAUGCAGCGACGCCGCGUGGGUGAAGAAGCGCCUCGGCGCGUAAAGCCCUGUCAGCAGGGAAGAAAAUGACGGUACCUGAAGAAGAAGCCCCGGCUAACUACGUGCCGGCAGCCGCGGUAAUACGUAGGGGGCAAGCGUUAUCCGGAUUUACUGGGUGUAAAGGGGGCGCAGACGGCGAUGCAAGCCAGGAGUGAAAGCCCGGGGCCCAACCCCGGGACUGCUCUUGGAACUGCGUGGCUGGAGUGCAGGAGGGGCAGGCGGAAUUCCUGGUGUAGCGGUGAAAUGCGUAGAUAUCAGGAGGAACACCGGUGGCGAAGGCGGCCUGCUGGACUGCAGCUGACGUUGAGGCCCGAAAGCGUGGGGAGCAGACAGGAUUAGAUACCCGAGUA